UACGUAGGGUGCAAGCGUUAAUCGGAAUUACUGGGCGUAAAGCGUGCGCAGGCGGUUUUGUAAGUCUGUCGUGAAAGCCCCGGGCUCAACCUGGGAAUUGCGAUGGAGACUGCAAGGCUUGAAUCUGGCAGAGGGGGGUAGAAUUCCACGUGUAGCAGUGAAAUGCGUAGAGAUGAUGGAGGAACACCGAUGGCGAAGGCAGCCCCCUGGGUCAAGAUUGACGCUCAUGCACGAAAGCGUGGGGAGCAAACAGG
rnacentral:rRNA from 1 species